rnacentral:rRNA from 1 species
UNGGAAUUACUGGGCGUAAAGCGGGCGCAGACGGUUACUUAAGCAGGAUGUGAANUCCCCGGGCUCAACCUGGGAACUGCGUUCUGAACUGGGUGACUAGAGUGUNUCAGAGGGAGGUAGAAUUCCACGUGUAGCAGUGAAAUGCGUAGAGAUGUGGAGGAAUACCGAUGGCGAAGGCAGCCUCCUGGGAUAACACUGACGUUCAUGCCCGAAAGCGUGGGUAGCAAACAGGAUUAGAUACCCUGGUAGUCCACGCCCUAAACGAUGUCGAUUAGCUGUUGGGCAGCAUGACUGCUUAGUAGCGAAGCUAACGCGUGAAAUCGACCGCCUGGGGAGUACGGUCGCAAGAUUAAAACUCAAAGGAAUUGACGGGGACCCGCACAAGCGGUGGAUGAUGUGGAUUAAUUCGAUGCAACGCGAAGAACCUUACCUGGUCUUGACAUGUACGGAACCCUCCAGAGACGGAGGGGUGCCUUCGGGAGCCGUAACACAGGUGCAGCAUGGCUGUCGUCAGCUCGUGUCGUGAGAUGUUGGGUUAAGUCCCGCAACGAGCGCAACCCUUGUCAUUAGUUGCCAUCAUUAAGUUGGGCACUCUAAUGAGACUGCCGGUGACAAGCCGGAGGAAGGUGGGGAUGACGUCAAGUCCUCAUGGCCCUUAUGACCAGGGCUUCACACGUCAUACAAUGGUCGGUACAGAGGGUAGCCAAGCCGCGAGGUGGAGCCAAUCUCACAAAACCGAUCGUAGUCCGGAUUGCACUCUGCAACUCGAGUGCAUGAAGUCGGAAUCGCUAGUAAUCGCAGGUCAGCAUACUGCGGUGAAUACGUUCCCGGGUCUUGUACACACCGCCCGUCACACCAUGGGAGUGGGGGAUACCAGAAGUAGGUAGGG